ACACCGAAAAAUUGUUCAACAACGAAGCAUAUAUAUUUCUAGGAGUCAUGAAAUAAUAUAUUCACAAAUCCAUAGAAGUUUAUAAUUGCUUAUUUCCUGGCUUUCUAGUUUUUACUAGAAAUUAAAGUCACUAAGAGUUAAGAAUUCUGAUACAAAAACUGCUAGAAAUCAUAAAGGAAAUACCUCAGUAUGAAACGCUAUGAUGAAGUUUAAUUCUGGAACUCAACCAGGCCCUUAAGAGGAUGGAGGCGAGUUUUUCCCACAGCAGUUCUGAAUGGGAUGAAGUGAAAAAUAAAAUCUCCCCAUUGCCACUACAGCACCUCCAGCCAUGUAAGACGUGUCUGCUUCCCCUUUACCUUCUGCCAUGAUUCCA